AUCCUGGCUCAGGAUGAACGCUAGCGGCAGGCUUAACACAUGCAAGUCGAGGGGCAUCGGGAGUAGCAAUACUGCCGGCGACCGGCGCAAGGGUGCGUAACGCGUGAGCAACAUGCCCGUAUCAGGGGGAUAAUCCAUGGAAACGUGGUCUAAUACCCCAUAGUAAUUAUGUAAGGCAUCUUAUAUAAUUUAAAGCUUUGGUGGAUACGGAUUGGCUCGCGUGACAUUAGCUGGAUGGUAAGGUAACGGCUUACCAUGGCUACGAUGUCUAGGGGUUCUGAGAGGAAGGUCCCCCCACACUGGAACUGAGACACGGUCCAGACUCCUACGGGAGGCAGCAGUGAGGAAUAUUGGACAAUGGAUGGAAAUCUGAUCCAGCCAUGCCGCGUGCAAGGAAGACGGCCCUAUGGGUUGUAAACUGCUUUUGUAUGGGAGCAAUAAGGGCUACGUGUAGUCCGAUGAGAGUACCAUACGAAUAAGCACCGGCUAACUCCGUGCCAGCCGCCGC
rnacentral:rRNA from 1 species